AUGACUUGUCAUGAAAUACAGAAGCAAAUGGUACAAGCUUGCGCAGAAAAGACCACCGAAGUAAUCAUGAACGAGCUUGGGCAUAGCCAUUUCUCUCUACUUGUUGAUGAGUCUCGUGAUGCAUCCGUUAGAGAACAAAUGGCUGUCAUUAUCAGGUUUUUGAACAUAAAGGGAGAUAUUUUGGAAAGGUUACUUGCUGUCAAGCAUGUAGUGAACACCACAUCCGCUUCUCUCAAAAGAUCCUUGGAUGAAGUGUUUGCUACCCAUGGAUUAUCCAUAUCUAGAUUGAGAGGGCAAGGUUAUGAUGGCGCCUCAAAUAUGCGUGGGCAGCUAAAUGGCUUAAAAAACUGGUGCUAG
rnacentral:rRNA from 1 species